AGAGUUUGAUCAUGGCUCAGGACGAACGCUGGCGGCGUGCUUAACACAUGCAAGUCGAACGCUGAUGGCCCAGCUUGCUGGGUUGGAUGAGUGGCGAACGGGUGAGUAACACGUGAGUAACCUGCCCUCUUCUUUGGGAUAACGGUCGGAAACGGCUGCUAAUACCGGGUAUUCACUGUCCUUCGCAUGGGGGGUGGUGGAAAGGUUUUUUCUGGUGGGGGAUGGGCUCGCGGCCUAUCAGCUUGUUGGUGGGGUGAUGGCUUACCAAGGCUUUGACGGGUAACCGGCCUGAGAGGGUGACCGGUCACAUUGGGACUGAGAUACGGCCCAGACUCCUACGGGAGGCAGCAGUGGGGAAUAUUGCACAAUGGGCGAAAGCCUGAUGCAGCGACGCCGCGUGAGGGAUGGAGGCCUUCGGGUUGUAAACCUCUUUCGCUCAUGGUCAAGCCGCAACUGUGGGUUGUGGUGAGGGUAGUGGGUAAAGAAGCACCGGCUAACUACGUGCCAGCAGCCGCGGUAAUACGUAGGGUGCGAGCGUUGUCCGGAAUUAUUGGGCGUWAAGGGCUUGUAGGCGGUUUGUCGCGUCUGCCGUGAAAUCCUCUGGCUUAACUGGGGGCGUGCGGUGGGUACGGGCAGGCUUGAGUGCGGUAGGGGAGACUGGAACUCCUGGUGUAGCGGUGGAAUGCGCAGAUAUCAGGAAGAACACCGGUGGCGAAGGCGGGUCUCUGGGCCGUUACUGACGCUGAGGAGCGAAAGCGUGGGGAGCGAACAGGAUUAGAUACCCUGGUAGUCCACGCUGUAAACGUUGGGCACUAGGUGUGGGGGCCACCCGUGGUUUCUGCGCCGUAGCUAACGCUUUAAGUGCCCCGCCUGGGGAGUACGGCCGCAAGGCUAAAACUCAAAGGAAUUGACGGGGGCCCGCACAAG
rnacentral:rRNA from 1 species